rnacentral:rRNA from 1 species
AGUUUGAUCAUGGCUCAGGAUGAACGCUAGCUACAGGCUAACACAUGCAAGUCGAGGGUAGCAGGUAGCAAUACCGCUGACGACCGGCGCACGGGUGAGUAACACGUAUCCAACCUUCCCAUAACUCAGGGAUAGCCUUUCGAAAGAAAGAUUAAUACCUGAUAGUACUUUUUCAAGGCAUCUUGAAAAAGUUAAAGAUUUUAUUGGUUAUGGAUGGGGAUGCGUUCCAUUAGAUAGUUGGUGAGGUAACGGCUCACCAAGUCUUCGAUGGAUAGGGUUCUGAGAGGAAGGUCCCCCACAUUGGUACUGAGACACGGGCCAAACUCCUACGGGAGGCAGCAGUGAGGAAUAUUGGUCAAUGGGCGAGAGCCUGAACCAGCCAAGUAGCGUGAAAAGGAUGAAGGUCCUAUGGAUUGUAAACUUCUUUUAUAGUAGAAUAAAGUGAGCCACGUGUGGUUUUUUGUAUGUAUACUAUGAAUAAGGAUCGGCUAACUCCGUGCCAGCCGCCGC